GCGUGCAUUGACUCACGAGUGCACCGAAUCCCAUCAAAACUCUGUAAUUAAACGUGCUUGGGCGAGAGUAGUACUAGAAUGGGUGACCUUCUAGGAAGUCCUCGUGUUGCUCCC